UCCAAGAUGUAACGAGCUACCCACAACUCGUCACCAGCUGAUAUCCCAACCGCAGGUCCAACUUGGAAUUCCCACUGCAUACACAAGAUUGAUGCAUAAUAUAGAAGAAAUAAAAAUAGAUUAGAGAAAGCAAACAAGCUGAAAAUGUCAAGGGUAAUCAAUGAUGUGUACGAAAAAAUAGUGCAUAAUUUAUAUCAAUUUCAACUUACCUGACCCGGCAUAACCUCUCCAUUAAUUCCACUGAUGUUGAUGCCAGCAUAAAGACAGGCUUUGUAAUGUGCGUCAACAAUGUCACGCCCAAAAGCCUUAUCAGCACCAGCACCACAAUAGUAAGGUCCCU
rnacentral:lncRNA from 1 species